CACUGAAAGCUAACUACCAUUUAAAAAGAACUUUGCAAUGUUCCAUUGCAUUUUCCAGCAAUAAAAAGUCUUAAAUUCACUGUUGUCAGUGGUAACUUCUUUUUAUUGCAACCUAAUAAGGUCAGUGCUUAGUUACUAUGACUCUUUCUACAACAAAACCAUUCUCAGCAAUCAUAGCAUGAAAUUAUUUCUCAAGUCCCUCCAUUUAAUCAGCACACUCAAACGGGGAACAAAACUCUGCAGCCAUGAAAACAGGUUUUGAAGCAUUGUUGAAAGCAGAACGCUGAUGAAAACCAUUGAUCUUUUGUUUCUAAAAGCAAAAAAAAAUCUGUUUGAGGAUAAGUGCAGGUAAUUUGUAAGAUAUUUAUAAGGUGACUAAAUAACAUCCAGGACAGCACUGCUCUUAGGUGAAAAGUAUUCUGAUCAGGCAUUGGUUUGGAUUAACUCAUUUUGGGUUUGUCCUGCUUCACUAAUCUGGAACAUGUUUCUUUGAAGUUCUGAGCAUACCUGACUUGAUUGUAAAGACUUCUGUUAUAUUAAGCACCACAAAAAAAAAAAAAAAAAAAAGCACACAAAUUUCUUAGUACAACAACUUCCAAAGGUAUUGAUAGGUUCUGGUGUUGUGAGGUUGGAAGAGAAGAUAUUUUGUCAAAAAACUGAUGCCUUAGGAUUUUAGCUUUUAUAUUUUCCAUAUAUUUGUAAUCUUGCAGUUCUUUAAUGUAUGACUCUAACUCCAUAUAGAAUGUUAGCUACUGCUUUCCCAUUUUGGUCCUCUCUAGUCCUGGGAAUCAAGGACAACUCACUGUCUCAGACCCCAAGAAAUGUAAACAAAAGUGAGUUGGUUGGAGCACAUUUGGGGUAAAUUACUUCAUUACUAGAAGCUGUAUUUAGGAAAUUAACCUGCAAUAUGCAAAUAGACCAAAUAUAUAAAAGUGUGAAACCCCAUGACCAGUUUAGACCCCGGGUGGGCUUCGUCUGCCCUAAAUGUACCUGAAGGCCCCUCAAGAAAUAUAACAGCUUUCUUUUUUCUCUUAGUUUUGCUUGGCCUCUGUUUUUAGGUAACCCAAAAACUAUAAAAAUCUGUUCUAAGACUUAAAGGGCUGGUGUCAUCAUCCCUUUUAUUUUAAUAAGAGCUGGUAUAAUUAUAUACAAUAUUAAAACAAUUAACUGCCAUGCAUAAUUAAUAAACCUUGUAAAAUUUAAAUACCUGAGAGAUUUCUUUCUUUUUUUGUUUCCUGAAAAGCAUCCUGACUGACAAUACUCAAAAGAAGCUGUUGAUGUGUCCUGUCAGUGACAGUCUUUGUUCUUGCUGUGGUGACUAGGUAUGAAAAUGGAGAAUGGAGCAGUUCAGAACACACAUUGCAAAAGAGCAGGAAAUGGAAUUUUUUCCUGGACUUGGAACCACUGUCACUUCUUCAGAUGCUUAGUGUUCUAAAAAGUGGGUCCUGGCUUAGAUUCAGACAACUGGACAAGGAAAGAGGAAACAGACUGCAUAUCUUGACUUUCCUCCAGCACUCAGGAAAUCACCUUGGAUGCAAAGGGCUGAAAUCUGCAAGCAGGCAUAUGGCUGGGAAUUUCUCAUGGAAGUCAACCUCAAAUCUGGAUGAGACAUCAUCCUUCUCCUUAUCACUUUCUGGUGCUGGUUUAAAAGAAUUCACCAAACACCUGAAUCCUGCUCUCAGGUAUUUCUCCUUUUCCCCACUCCUCUCCCCUGUGUUGUAAUAAGUAGCCUUAGGAUGUAGCAUCUAAAGCCAUCAUAAUCUUUGCCAUUGUGCUGCCUGUUUCUUAUGUGGUUCAUAAAGUUUCACUGAAGCAAAGUUUGUUUAUAGUACUUGUGAGGCCUCAUCAAAUUUGGUCAUUUUUUCUACGAGAUUCUGAGCAGAGCAUCUAAAAAUGACAAAGUGCAGGAAAUCCUGUUUUUAUGCAGUCUGGUGAAACAAGGGGAAAAUGGCCUAUGGUUUGAUAGAAAUUUCUUUGUUUAGCAUUUCAAAGCCAUCUCUGUGGUGAGAAAGCUUCUGUUUCAUCUGCCUAUGUUUUCCUCUAUAGCUGAUUUUUAUUUUUUAAAUUUUUUUUGUCUAGAUGUGGCAGGUAUAUGUCCCAAACAGGAUUCAAGUCCUAGUGUACUGUGCUCUGUGUUAUUGAAUAGUAUGAGAAAGUCUUUGGUCUAAACAGCUUAGUUUAGGAGACAAGGCAAACACAUGGUAAAUGAAAGGAAAUUAGUCCCCCUGCCCUCUCCUCUUGCAGUCACACUAUUUAUAGAGAGAUGGAGAUUAUUUGAAGUGAAUGCCCUCACUGGGAAUUUUGGCCCUGGUAUAUCAGCUGAGAUUUUGUGUUCCUGCAUCUGUGAAUUGAUUGUGCAAUGCUAGAAAUAGAAGCAGCGGUACUGAUGGCAACUCUCCUGCUGGAGUUGUAAGGGAGAAUAUUUGAAAUGAGUAUAAUAUUUCAUUUUUAAAGGGAAGAGUAAACAUGAAAAUUCUUACUUUUUAGUGUUCUACAAGUUUCAGCAGAGAGAGGAAAUUUAAUUGCAUCUCUAGUCUUUGAUAGUUUUCCCUUAAUGGCACAUUUCAUUGUAUUUCUGAGAAUUACCACAAAAAGAACCUUCUAUUAUUUGAAAAUAUCUUUAUGAUCUGUUAUUUCAUACAGAAUGCUUUCUAAGAGUAGAUAGAAAAUGUGACUGUUGAAUACAUUAAGAAAAGAAACAGGAAAAAUAGAGGUGUUAUUCAGCAAUUUUAAAGGAGAUCGUAUACUAUUCUUUUUUCCUUUUCCCUGUGAAGCAUGCCAAUAAUUUUAAACAGAGUGAAGAACCGUCUUUUAGUUUUUUUAUGGAUUCUUUUGAGUAGUUUUUCGGGGGGUGGUUGGUUGUUUUGGUUUUUAAUUAGUUGUCACUUCUUCUGAAGAGAAAGUAUUGUUUCUUAAGUAUGAGUGUUCAGGACUGCUGCCUCACAGACUAACAGUAAUUUACACAUAAAAUGAUGCAAAAACGACCCUCAGCAGCAACCACCAGCAGAAAGAGAACAUUUGGACAGAGCACAACUGUUUUUCCAGUGUUGGAAAAUGUAAAAUAAUUGUCUCAAAGAUUCUUUAAUCUUCAUCUUCACCUAGCAGACGUCUAUGAUUGUCCUCUGACCACAGGGAUUAGAGAAUACUUUAGAUUGGAAAGAGCAUCAUAAGAUCUCCAGUGUAACCUCAGGGUCAGCUGUGGAGUCAGUGCAGGUUGCUCACAGAUAGAUUUUCCAGGGUUCUGAAAACCUGUAAGGAUAGCACAACCUACUUGGGAACCUGUGCCGCUGCUUGAAUAUUCUCACAAAGAAAAUGUUUCCUUUCUAACCAGUCCAAAUCUCUCUAUGCUCAGUUCAAAUACCAUUGUCCAGUGUGACACACUUAGGCAUGACAAAUAGUUUUGGUGGCAGAGACUGGGAAUUCACUAGCCUACUAUGUGUUAUAAAUGUGAAAUGAUUAAUUCAUGUUCUUAUGGUAAAUUAGAAAUUUAUAAAAUUGUAUAAAGUGAUAUCAGGUAAAAGUUUAUGUUUUAAGAGAUUUUGCAGCAGAUGGUGAAACUGACCACCCUGAAACAGCAGGCGCCUCCAUUCAGGAAAGAGCAAAAGAUUUUUCUGGGAGAGCUUGCAGCCUUCUCAAGCACCGGGAGGGGACCUCUGGAGAUAAGCUGGCACCAGCAACUCACACCUUGGCUGUCGCCUUCACAGACCAUCAAGUGACAUCAUCUAUAUCUCGAUCAUUUAUCAACCAUAAGGAUCCAUAGAAAUUGGACAUUAACAUUUGAACGGAGAGAGGAACUCUUUUCUGCUUGGUCGGGGAAACUCCUGAAUUUGUAUAGUUAGUCGGGAAACAAUGGGAAAUAUGGGGAAAUAUUGCCACGGGCUAAAUAAAGUGUAUAAAAACCAAGCCCCGAACCGGGCUAUUUUGUGAACUGUUGGGGGAUAUAGCAGGCUGCCAGACCCUGUAUCUCACAGUUCACCCUUGGCAUUUCCCGGGAAAACUAUGUCAAGUUUCUCCACUGUUGGUGGGUUAUCGAAAUUCUGUGAUUUGAUCUUUAUUAAUAAACCAAAUUAUUAUUUUAAUUGGAAUAUUGUAUUGGCAUUUAUAACAUUAUGUAUUCUCCCUUCUCCCUUUCCCCCCUUUUUUCCCUUUCUUCUUUUUCCUUUUCGC